AAUAUUGUACAAGUGGCGCAAGCCUGAUCCAGCCAUCCCGCGUGAGUGAUGAAGGACUUAGGGAUGUAAAUCCUUUUCACCGAUGAAGAUAAUUACGGUAGUCGGAGAAGAAGCCCCAGCUAACUUCGUUCCAGCAGCCGCAGUAAUACGAAGGGGGCUAGCGUUGGUCGGAUUUACUGGGCGUAAAGCGCACGUAAGCGGAUUGGUCAGUUAGAGGUGAAAUCCCGAAGCUCAACUUCGGAACUGCCUUUAAUACUGCCAGUCUCGAGUCCGGAAGAGGUAAGUGGAACUCCUAGUGUAGAGGUGGAAUUCGUAGAUAUUAGGAAGAACACCAGUGGCGAAGGCGGCUUACUGGUCCGGAACUGACGCUGAGGUGCGAAAGCGUGGGGAGCAAACA
rnacentral:rRNA from 1 species